rnacentral:misc_RNA from 1 species
GAAAUGCGAUAAGUAGUGUGAAUUGCAGAAUUCAGUGAAUCAUCGAAUCUUUGAACGCACCUUGCGCUCCUUGGUAUUCCUUGGAGCAUGCCUGUUUGAGUAUCAUGAAAUCUUCGAAGUAAAGCUUUUGUUAACUCAAUUGGUUUCUACUUUGGUAUUGGAGGUCUUUGCAGCUUCACACCUGCUCCUCUUUGUUCAUUAGCUGGAUCUCAGUGUUAUGCUUGGUUCCACUCGGCGUGAUAAGUUAUCUAUCGCUGAGGACACUGUAAAAGGUGGCCAAGGUAAAUGCAGAUGAACCGCUUCUAAUAGUCCAUUGACUUGGACAAUACUUUUAUGAUCUGAUCUCAAAUCAGGUAGGACUACCCGCUGAACUUAAGC